GAAUGAGAAUUAUGUUGUAUCAUCAUUUUGACAGAAUUUGAUUUCAUUUUUGUUUUGGACAAAUUUGAUUAUUUUUGUUCUUUUGAAAAUAGAAAGUUUAUUCUUUUUCAUGACUUAAAGUUGCUUGGUACUGGUUCUUCAUUUGAUCAUGAUAAUCUUUAUUUGCUUGAUACAAUUAUUUUUUUUAAUGAAUCAUUACAU
rnacentral:lncRNA from 1 species